UACGUAGGUGGCAAGCGUUGUUCGGAAUUACUGGGCGUAAAGCGUGCGCAGGCGGUUGUGCAAGACAGAUGUGAAAUCCCCGGGCUUAACCUGGGAACUGCAUUUGUGACUGCACAGCUGGAGUGCGGCAGAGGGGGAUGGAAUUCCGCGUGUAGCAGUGAAAUGCGUAGAUAUGCGGAGGAACACCGAUGGCGAAGGCAAUCCCCUGGGCCUGCACUGACGCUCAUGCACGAAAGCGUGGGGAGCAAACAGG
rnacentral:rRNA from 1 species